rnacentral:tRNA from 1 species
GCAUUAGUAGCUCAGUGUUAGAGCUCCGGCCUUGUAAGCCGGCCGUCGAAGGUUAAAAUCCUCCCUCCUGCU